rnacentral:lncRNA from 1 species
UUCUUUUCUCUGUCAUGGGUCUAAAACUUUUGCUCACAUAGGAGAAGAAAGAGAAGGAGAUUUUCAGGCUGGACAGUGAAGCUGAUAGCAGCAGAUGCAGAAGUCACGGCAGCAGCUAAGAAGAUGGAUGUCACUGAGUUCCUGAGCCAAGCCAGGAGCUAUAGGAAAACAGGAUUACUUUGGAACUAUGGUGAAGGAAGGUAAGCAUGGCUGCAAUCUAGACGCGAAUUGCUUCCUCUCCCCGGCACCAAGAGAAGUAGACUACCUCAAAAGAGCAUAAAAAUCACCUUUAGAAGAAUGGAGGGACUAUCCAGUAAUCCACAGAAAUGAAGUUCUAGGUGUUGCAUAUUCAGAAGGAUACUGCCAAGUUGUAUGGCAACCACAGGAAGGAACAUGUACAUUGGAAAGAAGAAAGGCUCUAAAAUCACAAGUCCUGGCUUCAUAUCAAAUCUCCCUUCUUACUUCAAACUAUGUGAUCUUGGGGAACCUGAUUAUCUCCAUGUUGCAGUUGAGAAGAGAUACAAGAUAACUUAGACUGAAGAAUAGAACACUUAAGUAGAACAUGAUA